rnacentral:rRNA from 1 species
UACGGGGGGGGCAAGCGUUGUUCGGAAUUACUGGGCGUAAAGGGCUCGUAGGCGGCCAACUAAGUCAGACGUGAAAUCCCCAGGCUCAACCUGGGAACUGCGUCUGAUACUGGAUGGCUUGAAUCCGGGAGAGGGAUGCAGAAUUCCUGGUGUAGCGGUGGAAUGCGCAGAUAUCAGGAGGAACACCGAUGGCGAAGGCAGAUCUCUGGGCCGUAACUGACGCUGAGGAGCGAAAGCGUGGGGAGCGAACAGG